ACUUACCAGGUCAAGACAUGGGCGUGAUUGACAGGCUAAUGACUUUUCUCGAUUCCAUGGAUGGUGGUGCAUGGUCGCACUUAGUUGGUGCAGUGAUUUGUCAGGUUUAUUCCGGUAACGAACGAGACCUCGGCCUUGUAAAUAGCUAUGCUGCUUACAGGGACAUUGGCGGCUACGCCAAGGAAGCUCGAGGCAAUUGCAGAUCUGGAAUGCCCUUAGAUGUCCUGGGUCGCACGCGUGCUACAAUGACGCCACGAACGAGCUUGCGUGAUGAAAGUUACGCAUAAUCAGCAGUCGGCGUCUUAAGGGAUAGUCUCUUGUAACUGUGGGACUCCAACUAGGAAUGUCUCGUAAGCACAAGUCAACAUCUUGUGUUGAUUACGUCCCUGCUCUUUGUACACACCGCCCGUCGCUCCUACCGAUCGAGUGUUUAGGUGAAUUUGAUGGACGUAAGGAAGUCAAAUAAACCUGAGCACUAGAGAAGAGAAGUCGAGAAUGUC
rnacentral:rRNA from 1 species